UACAGAGGUCCCGAGCGUUGUUCGGAUUCAUUGGGCGUAAAGGGUGCGUAGGCGGUCUUCUAAGUUUGAUGUGAAAUCCCGGGGCUCAACCCUGGAAUGGCAUUGAAUACUGGAGGACUAGAGUACCGGAGAGGAAACUGGAAUUUACGGUGUAGCAGUGAAAUGCGUAGAGAUCGUAAGGAAGACCAGUGGCGAAGGCGAGUUUCUGGACGGUAACUGACGCUGAGGCACGAAGGCCAGGGGAGCAAACGGG
rnacentral:rRNA from 1 species